UUGAUACUGUAGAGCUAGGAUUAGGUUGCUGUGGGCGGAAUGUGUGGUGUAGCGGUGAAAUGCUUAGAGAUCACACAGAAUAUCGAUUGCGAAGGCAGCUCACAAAGCCUAAAUUGACGCUGAGGCACGAAAGUGUGGGGAUCGAACAGGAUUAGAUACCCUGGUAGUCCACACUGUAAACGAUGAUAACUCGCUGUCGGCGAUAUACAGUCGGUGGCCAAGCGAGAGCGAUAAGUUAUCCACCUGGGGAGUACGACCGCAAGGUUGAAACUCAAAGGAAUUGACGGGGGCCCGCACAAGCGGAGGAACAUGUGGUUUAAUUCGAUGAUACGCGAGGAACCUUACCCGGGCUCGAACGGUGCAUGAAUGUCAGAGAGAUUUGACAGUCCUUCGGGACAUGUAUCGAGGUGCUGCAUGGUUGUCGUCAGCUCGUGCCGUGAGGUGUCGGCUUAAGUGCCAUAACGAGCGCAAC
rnacentral:rRNA from 1 species